rnacentral:rRNA from 1 species
GAUGAACGCUGGCGGCAUGCCUAAUACAUGCAAGUCGAACGAGAGGAAGGAAAGCUUGCUUUUCUGAAUCUAGUGGCGAACGGGUGAGUAACACGUAGGUAACCUGCCCAUAUGCCCGGGAUAACUUCUGGAAACGGAUGCUAAAACCGGAUAGGUAGCAGACAAGCAUUUGACUGCUAUUAAAGUGGCUAAGGCCAUGAACAUGGAUGGACCUGCGGUGCAUUAGCUAGUUGGUGAGGUAACGGCCCACCAAGGCGACGAUGCAUAGCCGGCCUGAGAGGGCGGACGGCCACAUUGGGACUGAGACACGGCCCAAACUCCUACGGGAGGCAGCAGUAGGGAAUUUUCGUCAAUGGGGGGAACCCUGAACGAGCAAUGCCGCGUGAGUGAGGAAGGUCUUCGGAUCGUAAAGCUCUGUUGUAAGAGGAAAACGACAUUCAUAGGGAAUGAUGAGUGAGUGAUGGUAUCUUACCAGAAAGUCACGGCUAACUACGUGCCAGCCGCCGCGGUAA